rnacentral:tRNA from 1 species
GUGGAAGUAGCUCAAAAGGUAGUAGCACCUAGGUCCCAGGUUAUGCCGGUUCGAGUCCGGCCUUUCGCA